UACAGAGGUCUCAAGCGUUGUUCGGAUUUAUUGGGCGUAAAGGGCGCGUAGGCGGCUCGGCACGUCCGUUGUGAAAUCGCUCGGCUCAACUGGGCGAGGUCAGCGGAUACGGUCGAGCUUGAGCCAGCUAGGGGGCAAUGGAAUUCCCGGUGUAGUGGUGGAAUGCGUAGAUAUCGGGAGGAACACCAGUGGCGAAGGCGGUUGCCUGGGGCUGUGCUGACGCUGAUGCGCGAAAGCGUGGGGAGCGAUCCGG
rnacentral:rRNA from 1 species